GGUUACAGCAAAACCAAUUCAACACUUUUUCAAUUUUUACACGUUUCUUCAUUCCAAUACACACAUUUUUCAUCUCUUUCCCUCUCCCUCUCUCUCUCAGACAAAACUUAACCCUUCUUUCUUUCUUUCUUUCUUUCUUCCAUUUUCACUCCUCUCUCUUUUUCCUUCAAACCCUUGAACCACCGCCUGUUUACGGCCACCACACAUCCGCCAACACUGUCACUCCGCUGCGCGGGACCAAACAACAACCACCACUUUCAGAUUAUACGCGAUUAUUUCUCUUUUCCUUUCACUCUAUUGAUUUCAGGGUUUGUGCUUCUAAUCCUCAUUGUUUUGAUUUUCGAUUUUAGGUUUUGCCAUCAAAAAACAUGUCUUAUUGCUUAUUUCUGACCACUGUGAAUCGUAUCCCUUGCAAGCUUAUUAUAAGGUAUGAAGAUGAAGAUCGAAAGUUGGCUCCUCAAGCUUUUGCCCACAACUACAAAAGAUAAACUUUCUCUGUCAAAGGUAACGCCGCCGUUGUUGUCCAUGGCGGCAACGAAGGAAUUUAUUCAUCUUUCAUCAAUGAAUCUUCCAUCUCUUCAGUACCGACUCUUUCAAAGGUUGAAGAUAGAGAUAUGAUUGGUGGUUCAGCUUAAGGGGGUCAACAGGUCGUCUAUUUCACCGGUGAUUCGGCUAAACUCGGCGUGUGCAAUAAAGGACAUGUCAUUCACCGGCCUUCUCCCAUGAAUUCAGAUUGGCCUCAAGUUUAUGGAAUAUUAUUAAAGAAGGAUUGGAGACUGCUAUGACAAAGCAUGUAAUAGAUGAUGAAGCAACAAUAAAGAAUAUAAGUUGGAGGUCGAUAAAAAUAAUUGGAAUGACACAACAGGACCAGGGACCGCUAUUUUAAAUCUACUGAAUCGAGUCGAUUUCACAUGUGAUUCGUCAUCAAAGCUAAGUGUUAACUUAUAUUUUCAUUAAAGUUAUUUGAAAUUUAAUCUUAUAAUAGUAAACACCAUGUCUAAAAUGGUGCAAAUGAUUUGACUUCCUUAGCAUUUGAUUUCCAUCUAUAGAAGAAAUUAAAGAUUAGGAAGUUGAAACCAUUGAAAUAUAUGCUUCCACAAGGACUAUCAAUGGCUUUCAUUGGCAGUUACUGAUUAUAUACUGAUUGUAUUUUCUACAGGUAGCAAAUGCAAAUGUCUCAUUGCAACGUUUGGAGGAACUGUUUUCGGCCGAGGAAUGAGAUUUUCAACAAAAUUCACCAAUUUUUCCAGGACUUCCAGCCAUCUUAAUAAAGAAUGGACACUUUUCAUGGGAUCCAAAAGUCAAUCUUUUACGAUUUUUCAGAAUAUUUCCAUAGCAAUAUUCAAGAGAAUGGGCUACUUAUGACUAACAUCUUCUUCUCUGUCAACUUUUAUGAAGAGUAGUAUUUUACCAUCAAUUUUUUUCCUAUGCAGGCCGAAAAAGGAAUUUGUUAUCAAUCACCGACAAGUUAAUUUUUGUUCUUUUGUUUUGUUUUUAAGGUGAUCAACUUGCCAUAGCAAAGAAGAUUGAGAUGAGAAUUGGGAUGGGAGCUAAUAUGUACCCAUCAGCUACCUUGCUUGGUAUAGAUAGGAACUUUCAAGAGUUACUCAUUUGGUUUGCAGCUUCCGGCUCCAGUGAUACAGCUGCUACAGGUGCAUCGGAUACAUUUACAUGUGUGCUGAAUAUUAGAAAUCACUGUUAAUAUAGCCUUGGCUUAGUGUAAACUUCAUGAAUUGGAACUGAGUUUAUGUUUGAAGAUUCCGGCUCCAGUGGUGCUGCUGCUAUAGGGGAAGAUGAUCCAUUUACAUUUGUACUCAAUAUUAGAAAUCAUGUUAAUAUAGCCUUAGAUUAGUGUUAACUCCAUGUGCAAGUAUUUUCUUGGAACUGGUAUGAGAGGACUCUUUGAAUAUUGUCACUCUAUUGAUAAUUUUGUUGAAUAGAUUUGUUGAGCUUUCUAUGA